AAAUAAUUUAGCCCACGCACCUGCACAGAAAACCCACAUCAACGAGUUUGCUUCGGCAGUCAGGCUGGGGAACCAAAGGCUAAGCCUGAAAGCAAACGUGAAAUCAAAUACGAAAAUUGCACAGCAGCCCCGCAGGAGUCAGCUAUCCAGAGGCCCCGCUGAAACCCCAUCUGUCAGGAAAUUUGAACUUCUUAAAGAAAUGGAAUGACUUUAUCUACACCUGGGACAGAAUUUAGUAACAUUUGUGUAAAAUUAAACCAUUGUAACAGAAAAUAGUAAUUUGGGAGAUUAAAUUAUUUAUACGUUAAUUUAACAGCCAAUAUGUUUUAAUGCGCUUGUGUUUUGUUUUUCUCUGCUCUCUUAUUAAAUAUCAUUUGGAAUAUCACACUGUCAUCCUUGGCUUGCCUGCAAAGUCAUAGAAAUAAAUGUGCUGACUUAUCCA
rnacentral:lncRNA from 1 species